AUGAGAGCGCCAAGGUGACACCACCCUCCACCAUCACAACUGGGAAUAUCACCUGCAACACUCACCCUCAAGCAGAUAAACAGCCAACAGUCUCCCCUGGGACUCACAGUAGCUCCUCGGCUGCUGUGCUGGCGUUGCAGCUGAAGCUCAUCAAGACACAGCCCUUGUCCCAUGGCAGCCUCUCUCCCCACAGCCAGUCCUUCCCAGGACCCCACACCUCCCCUCCGCCGCAGCCCUCGCCUCUCUCACCCCCUCCCUGCCCACGGCCUGCACUGUGCCCUCCCCGUCCCCUAACCAGGCACACCUCAGCUUUGUGGGACCAUCAGUGGCCUCGCCCAUGGGGUGUGCCACCAAGCAGGGCCUGGUGCCAGGCCCUCAGUGCCUGGCCGUCAGCUCGAAGCGAGAGAAAGAAGCAGAAAACGUGACUCACAAGCAGCAAAUCAACCAGCUAUCCCUCUCUGCUGCCCAGGAAGUUGUUGCCUCCAGGAGUGUGACUGGGCCACCCCCAGCCAUGCAUUCCCCCAGCCUGGCAUCUGCCCCGCCCCCAGCCAAGACCUGCAGCCCUGCCCCCAGGACUACCGCCACUACCGCUGCCACCACUGCCACUGCUGCCAGGCUGUGUGAUGCCGCCCACAGGAAUGACGGGGGUCAGCGGCCUAGCAUUGCCAAGCUGAAGGAGAUGUUUGAGCGAUGCUGCCCGGCAGAGGGUCAGCCCGUCAGCAGGCUGAGCCGCAGCGCCAGCAGUGUGACUGCCCGGCCUGCCCUCAGCAUCCACCCUGCUAUGGACAUAGGGCACAAGAUCAAGCGGAAGAGCAGCCUCGGGGCAGAGGAGACCCUUGCCACCAAGAAGGCAUACAAAGCCAUUGAGAAAUACCACCAGCAAGAGGGCAGUGGUGGUGGUGGUGGUGAGGUAGGUCCAGACACUGGCCAUGCCUCCCUCAGCCCAGCUCACCCCUGCCCCUCAGGCCACCAGGGUGACAGUCACCUAAGUGCCCCAGAAGAUGGCUCCACAUUGGCUCUCCUGGCCCGCGUGGAUGAGCGUCCAGCACUACCCGUCAAGAAGAGCAAGUCAUUUCGCUACGUGCGGCCAGGGGUGGGCGCUGGACGGGCCGUGGCCGCCCCUCGGAGCCCAGAGCUCGCCAGGAAGAAGGCAGACAUCAAUGCUUACUUUAGUCUAGACCGCUGCCGCCCAGAUGGCACAGCAGCAACCCGACACGACGGCAGUGGCAGUGGUGGUGGUGGCAGUGGCGUGACCUUCCUGGGUGACGUGCCGUCACCACGGGAAGGCUUCAAGCUAUCCGUGUACCAGGUUCCUCCCCUGCCAGCCACUUCACAGGCCAGCAGGGAGGAUAAGGGUGACGUACGGCCCCAGAUUCCCCCAAAGCGCCUCAUUGGGGAGAAAUUGCGUGCUAGUAAACCACGACAAUUUCUCUUGAUGAAUUCACAGCUUCCUUUCUCCUCCCCAUCUUCCUCCUCCUCCUGCUCCUCAUCCUCCAUCUCCUCUGCCUCCUCCAUCCACCUGUCUCAUUCACAGUUACCUUGUUCUUCCUUUCUUCCAUUUUCAUCCCAGAUUGCUUCCUCCUCCUCCUCUCAUAUAUUCACCAGCUCCACUUCACCUUGCCAGCCCAGACACCUGCCUAUCACACCUGCCUCCUCCACACACCCGUCCAUGUCACAUCCCACACCUGCAUCCUCAUCCUUCAAUUCUUUAUAUGCCACCCCUACAGCUGUCCUCACCGCCACCUCCACCUCCACCCCUGUCACCACCACCGCCACCACCCCUUCCAUCACAGAUGCCUCCACUGCCUCUGCUACCAUUACCACCACAGUCACUACAAUCACCACCACAAACUCCUCCUCCACCACCACCAUCACCACCACAUCACCCACAACACCACCAGUCACCCACAACUACAGCAAUCCAAGGGAGGUGCAGGUUGCCCCCCGCCGGCCCAACCAAGGCCACCCUCUCUUUGCCAAGCUGCCAGGGAAUACCACCACCACCACUGCCUCGCCAGUGCAGUCUUCCUCCACAGACUGCCAAGACUCUGCUGCCAUGAAGGACUACGUGAAUGCCAGGCUGGUGCGGCAGCCUCAGCGGUGCCUGUACGUGCCUCUGCCAGCCAAGAGGGCCACGCUGGAGGGGCGGGCGCUGCGGGAGUAUGCAAACUGCUCCCUCAGCGACCAGAGUCCUGGCAGAGUGGAGGAACCAGACUCAUCCAGGCCGGCAGAGGAGGCCAAGGCUGCCGUGUACGAUGACGUGAAUCCCUCUAAGGCAGAGUGUGGCCCCGUGGUGUCCGGGGAGACUGCCCCCACACUCCUGUUCAACCCGACAGCCUCGGACACCAGCAGCGACCCGACCUCACCCAACACAGAGGGCUCGGGGGACUACGAGGUGAUGGACUUCGGGGAGUCCAGUGCCAGUGUGGAUGAGGUGUUUGAGACUGUGAACUACCAGCUGGUAGCUGCUGGGGGCAGUGCUGACCAGCAGCAGCAGCAAGGGACCAGGAGAGAGGUGGAGGGGCAGGGCCGGCGGGAUCUGGAUGUGGUGGCCCAGCAGGUGUUCCAGGCAUGCAGAGACUACCUGCAGCAGGGCAGUGAUGGUGCUGACGUGAAGGAGGUGGCCAGCAGGGUGGCCGUGGCACCGCAGGGUCUCCGCACAAGGGAACGGCGCAACAGCUACCGCCAGGCCGUCAACCACCUGCUGGGGGGAGACACCGCCCCCCCCAGAACCCCAGCCAGGCCAGCCACCUCUUCCCCCUACUGGUGCCCACAAGUACGAGACCAUCUGGUUUGACAGUGUGCGGCAGCUGGCCCGGGGCAGUGGUCACAGCCCCGGUGGCCCCAGCCAGGAGCAGGAGGAGCCUCAUGGCUCGCCAGCUGAGGACUUCUGGGCCAACCUGGACUUGUACAGCAGCAGCAGCAGCAAGGAGAUGCUCUUCCGGGAGAAGCUGGAGGAGCUGCACUCGCUGGUGGCUGGCCUGGGGAAGCCUGGCCGCCCAGAGGAGGAUGGCCCCUCCAAGGGCAGCGGCAGUGGCAGUGGCAGCCAGGGUUCCAGCCUGUCCUCCCUGUGGCAUGCACCAGAGGCCCCCAGCACUCUGGAACUGCAGUGUAGCGGUGCCUCACAGCAGCCGUCCUCCCCUCAGGGUACAGAUCGAGGGGCAGCAGGGCUGGUGGGGCAGCUGUGCCACACCCAGCCAGACACAUCCCUGCAGAACGGCUCCAUUGCACCAAGUGGCCUGUGGAGCAAACCCUUGGCAUCCUACAGCUGCGCCUUGCCCACUUUGUCCAGCUGCCCACCCCACUGCAGCAUGCCUCCUCCCGAGGGCAUUGGCUUAGUGCAGGAGCCACCAGUGGUGCAUCCUCCCCACUACAGCCUGGCUCAGCCCCGGAACACAGCAGCAGGAGGCAAGGGCAGCGCGGCACCCCACACCAAGCUGCCGCCAGUCAUCAGGAGUCGUCUCCCUCACCCACACCCACAGGAGGUGGUGCUGGCAGGGGAUGUGGCUUAUGUGGGGGAGGAGUGCGUUCCGUUACGGCAGGGCAGGGCUGAUGUGGCACUGUGCAGGGAGGAGAGGGAGGCCUGCGACACCCCCCUGGCACCACCAAGAGUCAAGAGGACCUCCUUCAUUGGCACAGGGCGACCCACUGGUGCCUCUGACUCCUUGCAUGGCUCACCUCAGCAACAGUGGUGUUUAUCCAUCGCUAGGGAUGCCUCUCAACACAACACUCACACACUCAAGCAGGUUGAGGUGAAGAGGGAGGAUGAGGCACCACCAGCCAUCCCUGCCAAGACAGCCGCUGCAUUUGAGUUCCUGGACUCUCCACCCGACCCUGUGCCGCCCUGCAGCCCUCCACCCAUCCACCUGCAUUACACACACCUGCCCCCACCCAAGCCCCUGCCCAGCUCAGCUGUCUCCAGGCACCAAGCCUUCCCUGCCACUCCAGUUGCUGCACCACAGAGACAGCCCACCUUGCCACAGUUGAGUGAUGGGGAGCUGUUGGUCGGGGAAGAGACAGGGGCAGGCUGCAGUUCGUCGGACUCCUCAGAUGAAGAAGGAAUCUUCCACAAGUUCUCCGCUCCGAGCAUCUUCAGAAGGUGGCGGAGUGGAGGCAGUGGUGGGAAUAGUAGUGGGGGUGGUGGGAGACAAGUGGCUCCAGCUUCACCCAAGUCCACCUUUUAUGAAGGGUGGGAUGACCCCAUAGAGCCACCCACAUCUGUCCUGGCCUCCCCCAAGCCCCUGGCCAAGGCUUUCGGCAAGCUGAGGAUAAACUCUCGGUCCAUGGCAGCCAACUUCAAGUCUUACCUGAGCCAGCGCAGCGGCCAGACUGAGGCGGGUGAGGGAGAGGCCCCAGGAAAGACCAACGGCUUCCCUAGCAUCACCUCCGCCUCUGCCACCACUGCUGCUGCUGCACCAUGGAGACCCAUCCAGAAGAGUGUCAGCUCAGGAGCCACUCUCUCUCCCUUCACUCAGGUGGCCCAGGACUAUAAAUACCCAAAUGCUAUACCAAAGAAACCCGCCGGGCCGAGGGAGCUGCCGGUGGUGCUGCGGGGGCCGGCGCCGGCUGUGGGAGUGGACGGGCCGGUCAGAGUGAAGCUGGAACCUCCCAGACAGCAGUACCUCUAGGCGGCAGCUGGCUGGACAUUCACCAGCUGCCACUCUGCCACUCCCACCUACCAUGCUGCUCCUCUAGUGCUGUGUUGCCUUCACCUGCUGCUACACCACAACACCACACCCUCCUGCUGCUACUCAUGCUGAAAUCUCACACUAAUCUUGUUCAAUUUAAAUACUUUAAUUUGUGAAUAUUGUUAAGAAAACAUAGUUUUCUA